ACCUUGCUGGCUCAGUCGGUGGAGCAUGUGACUCUUGAUCUUGGAGUCAUGAGUUCAAGCCCCACGCUGGGUA
rnacentral:tRNA from 1 species